rnacentral:rRNA from 1 species
UCAGACGAUGCGUCAUGCAUAUCAAUAAGCGGAGGAAAAGAAACUAACAAGGAUUCCCCUAGUAACGGCGAGUGAAGCGGGAAGAGCUCAAAUUUGAAAUCUUAAAGGGUUUCCCUUUACGAAUUGUAGUUUAAAGAAGUGUUUUCUGUUGAGGUUUUGGUAAAAGUUCUUUGGAAUAGGACAUCAUAGAGGGUGAGAAUCCCGUAUUUGACCUUUACUUUCAACUUUGUGAUACACUUUCAAAGAGUCGGAUUGUUUGGGAAUGCAGUCCAGAAUGGGUGGUAAAUUUCAUCUAAAGCUAAAUAUUGGCGAGAGACCGAUAGCGAACAAGUACCGUGAGGGAAAGAUGAAAAGAACUUUGAAAAGAGAGUUAAACAGUACGUGAAAUUGUCAAAAGGGAAGCGUUUGACACCAGUGUUGUUUUUCUGAAAAUCAAUUAAAGAACUGUUUAUGCUAAGUUGUUUAGACUUUAUCAGCUAACUGUUUAGUUUUGAGCUUUUCUUUAAUGCACUUUUCAGUUAACAAGUCAACAUCAAUUUCUUUUGCUGUAAAAAAGCUUGAGGAAGGUGGCUUGAGAUUCGUCUUAAGUGUUUAUAGCCUCUUGCCUAUGCAGUCGGAGAGAUUGAGGUCUGCAGCGUAGAUCCUUCGGGGCUAAAUGCAUUUGUGCUAAGUUAUAGCAUUUUAUAGACAACUUGUUGACUAUGAUUUGUCUUGUAGCUUACUCGCUUAUGUUAUUUUACCUACGCUUAGGAUGUUGAGCGCAUGUCUCUCUCU